AGAACAGGAACCCUCACACCUCCUGGGCAGUGCACCUGAGGGCGACCUGGUGAGCACACACAGCCCUGCUGGUGCCCAGCAGGAGCAGCAGAGCCUCCUUCUCCUGCAGGGAAGGAGCGAUCCCAGGGAUGGGAAUGGAAUGACUUUGGAGGGAAUCAGCUUCAGGAGAAAGAAGGAGCUGCUCCCAGGUCUCCAAAAUCUCAUGGAUGGUUUGUAGGACCAGAGCCUGAUGGGAUUCAUGGGUGGGCAAUUGAGCCGAGAACCUGG
rnacentral:lncRNA from 1 species